rnacentral:rRNA from 1 species
AUGAAGUCGGAAUUGCUAGUAAUCGUAGGUCAGCAUGCUGCGGUGAAUACGUUCCCGGGCCUUGUACACACCGCCCGUCACACCAUGGGAGUCGGUAACACCCGAAGCCUGUAGUCUGACCUUUUGGAGGACGCAGUCGAAGGUGGGGAUCGAUGACUGGGGGUGAAGUCGUAACAAGGUACC